UGCCAGCCGCCGCGGUAAUACGGAGGGUGCAAGCGUUGUCCGGAUUUACUGGGUGUAAAGGGCGCGCAGGCGGAUUUGUCAGUCAGGGGUGAAAUCCUACAGCUUAACUGUAGAACUGCCUUUGAUACUGCAAAUCUUGAGUUCGGAAGGGAGAGGCGGAAUUCCAGGUGUAGUGGUGAAAUACGUAGAUAUCUGGAGGAACACCGAUGGCGAAGGCAUCUCUCUGGGUCGAUAUUGACGCUGAGGCGCGAAGGCGUGGGUAGCGAACGGGAUUAGAUA
rnacentral:rRNA from 1 species